UCGUGUUAAAAAAAAGAAUUUUUUUUAAAUUUUUUUACAUUUUGACCCCUAAUCUUUUCUAAAAUUACCUUUUGACCCUUAAACUUUCUCUAAAUUACAUUUUAACCCUUGAAAUUUUCUAAAUUACAUUUUAACCCCUGAACUUUCUCAAAAUUAUAUUUUGACCCUGACAUUUUCUCAAAAUUAUGUUUCAGCCCCAAAACUUUUGCUACGUUUACAUUUUGGUCCCUUUGGCAGCUACUGACGCAAGUUGCACCUGCAACGCCUGGCGGCCGACCUAGGCCCUCCCUAGCCCCCUGCUACCUGCAAAAAGGAAGAGAAAUCAGCAAUUUAAAAGGGUUUUCAAACCCCCAAUUUGGGCAGCCAAGGAGAAAGCAAAAAAGAAAAAAAAAAUUUGGAGCGAAAAAAGAAAAAAAAACAGUAGCCCACCGCCGGCCGUCGCACCAGCACCGCUGUUCGCCGACACCUAAAAAACGAAAUAAAAACCAAAGCAAAAAGAAAAAGAAAAAGCAAGCAAAGAAAAAAAAAUUUCAAAGAAAAAAGAACACCCACGAAAAAGAGGAAAGCAAAGAAGGAAAAAGGGGGAGGAGGGAAGUGCGCCGUCGUCGGCCGUCGCACCGUAGGCGGAGGAAGCGCCGGCAGCAACAAAGAAAUUGGUAGGGGGCUGAUAGAAGAAGAAGAAGAAGAAGAAGAAGAAGAAGAAGAAGAAGAAGAAGUAGAAGAAAAAAAAUUAACAGUCGGGUCAAACUGACCCGACCCGGGUCCGACCGGACCCGAUUUGGUGACCCAACCCGACCCAGCGAGCCCAAUAGCCAAGCCCAAAGCAACCCCUAAAAAAACAAAGCAAAAAAAAAGAAGCAGCAGCAAAAAAAAAAAGAAAGCAGGCCAUCUUUAGCAAGCCCAAUAGCUGCCCAAACAGCAGGCCUACAGCAGCCCAGUCCCCAUCAGCCAAGCAGCACUUCAAGCAGGCCCAGCAGGCCGGCCCAACAGGCCGAAAAAGAAGAGAAAGAAAGAAAAGAAAAAAAAAAGAAAGAAAAAGAAAAAGUGAAGCAAAAAAAAGAAAAAGAAAAAAGGGGGUUUAAUUUGUGCAACCCGUUCGGUGAAGAUCGUGUUUUGGACAUUUUCGGUAAUUUCGUUUAUUUCACUUUUAAUUUAAUACUCGUAUUUUUAUGCUAUUUCGUUUUAAUAU
rnacentral:lncRNA from 1 species